CAUCACGACAAGUUUUUGAUAAUACUGGUAUUGUUCCUAGCUAUUAUGCAAAUAUCAUGCAAUGAACAAUAUGAGGAACAACGGGAGAAACACGAACAAUCGACUGUAGGAUGGAGACGAAAGAGGCGGAGUUURCAAAAUGAAGGAUCCUACCCUGUUAUUAAACCAGAUGAAGCUAAACUAUUCAAAAAUGUCAAAAAAUACAUGAUGAAUUAAUAUAAUUAAAUCGCAAUGAUAGAAAAAACCUAUAAACAUUUAAAUGGGUAAACAUUUAAUGCUUUGAAAAGUGUAUUUAACAAAGAACUUUAUGCAGACCCACUUGCUUCCCAGACUCCAUUGCGACAUUUUCGUGAAUUAUUUGAAAAAUCGCAUUUUUUUUCUUUUUCUUUUUGCUUGGUUUUGUUUUGUUUUGUUUUGUUUGUUUUGAUUUUGUUGAUGUUGUUGUUGUUGUUUUUUUUUUGCAUUGAUUAUUACUUUGAACCAUGCAACUUAGACAAAAUAAGAUAUAACGUUUAUUAAGGAUUAACACCUCGAAUUCUUUCGACUGAACUACGUCUAUGAAAAUAUAAUGAAAUCAAAAUAUAAUAUAAUAUAAAAACAUACGAUAUCAUCGAAUUAUUACGAUACAUUAGAAAUAGAAAAAAAAUAUGUUCAACAUUUUCCACAGGUCUCAAAAAAUCAUCGCAAAAGUUCCUGGAUGCAAAUGGGCCUUUAAAGAAGAAUAGUCAUAUUUAUUGUUAAAACUCGUAAAGGUUUAUAUUCUCCUUAUUGUUACAUAUGAUAAUUUCAUUAAAUAGCUUAUUUCUC